rnacentral:rRNA from 1 species
CACGUAGGGGGCGAGCGUUGUCCGGAUUUAUUGGGCGUAAAGAGCUCGUAGGCGGCUCAGUAAGUCAGGUGUGAAAACUCCAGGCUCAACCUGGAGACGCCACCUGAUACUGCUGUGGCUAGAGUCCGGUAGGGGAGCAUUGAAUUCCUGGUGUAGCGGUGAAAUGCGCAGAUAUCAGGAGGAACACCAGUGGCGAAGGCGGUGCUCUGGGCCGGAACUGACGCUGAGGAGCGAAAGCGUGGGGAGCAAACAGG